CGCUGGCGGCAGGCCUAACACAUGCAAGUCGAGCGGUAGCACAAGAGAGCUUGCUCUCUGGGUGACGAGCGGCGGACGGGUGAGUAAUGUCUGGGAAACUGCCUGAUGGAGGGGGAUAACUACUGGAAACGGUAGCUAAUACCGCAUGACGUCUUCGGACCAAAGUGGGGGACCUUCGGGCCUCACGCCAUCAGAUGUGCCCAGAUGGGAUUAGCUAGUAGGUGGGGUAAUGGCUCACCUAGGCGACUGAUCUCUAGCUGGUCUGAGAGGAUGACCAGCCACACUGGAACUGAGACACGGUCCAGACUCCUACGGGAGGCAGCAGUGGGGAAUAUUGCACAAUGGGCGCAAGCCUGAUGCAGCCAUGCCGCGUGUAUGAAGAAGGCCUUCGGGUUGUAAAGUACUUUCAGCGAGGAGGAAGGCAUUGUGGUUAAUAACCGCAGUGAUUGACGUUACUCGCAGAAGAAGCACCGGCUAACUCCGUGCCAGCAGCCG
rnacentral:rRNA from 1 species